rnacentral:lncRNA from 1 species
CCUCUACCCCUUCUUUCCUGGACCCCGCCCCCCAUCUGUUUCCAACGCGCGGAGAAGCAGGGCGGGAGGGCAGAUUCGGCGCUCUAGUCAACUGUGGCCACAUGGAAGAAUUGGAGGAUAGGGUUCACGCCUUCUUCCCAGUAGAAUAUGUGAGGGAGGAGGUGAGGCUGGACGAAGGCUGGGUAAUACUGAACCGGGGGGAACUCAAUUCUUGUUCCUGAAGGGAACACAUACGCGCGCGCAGGCACACAUACGCACGUCCCAUUCAAACACUGUUAGACUUUUAAACCGAAAUCCAAAAGGAGCCUGACUUGCCUCCUGUUGCAAUAAUCCCGUUGCAGUGUCAAAGGCCGAGAAGCAUUCUCUCGUUGCAUCAUUUUUAUGCUCAGUGAGAGGUCUAGCACCAGAGCUCUUAGAUUCCUCUGCUCUGCAAAAGUAUGAUCCCAGCCCCCAGGACUCUUCAUAUUCCCCUCUCGCGUGGACUGUGCCUUUUCAAGAGCUACAGCAGCGACUCUCAGCUCAGCCUACCCUCUGACUCGACUCAUUCCUCCCGGAUAGCAGCUACCGCUGCUGCUGCAGUCACCAUCCAGCCUCCUCUUCCAGCACCAGCGGUUGGGAGAAGAGAAUUCGCUACCCGCUGAACCCAGAGCCCUGUGGCGCCAGCCGGCGCAGCUGCAAGAAAAAGCCAGGUCCUAGCUUUGCUCUCAUUCCCCUUCCCCGGUCUUCCGCGCCAACCUCCUCCUAGGCCAAGCCAGCACCUUUCCUCUACCUUGGAGCUGGAUUAAAGUUCUCAUUUCUUUACAUAUUUUGCAAGAAGGUAAAAGAGGAAGCCGCUCCUCCCCCCCGCCCACAACCACUUUUUUUUAGGUGGUUUGGUAAGGAAGAGCUUUUUAAAAACAACUCUGGGCAACCUUCGGAGAGAAAGGGCUAAAUAAGUCUCAGCCUCCAGGGUGCGGAGUAAGUGCGAAAGUUGGCUCUUUCAAGAAAGCAAUGUGGCUCGUUGUCCUCUAGGCGUCCGUCGCGCCACUCACCCCCCUCUACUCGCCCCACCCCACCGGCCUCUGUUUGCCUGCUUUUCCUAGCCAAGCGGCAGAACCAGUGCAGGUGACUCCUCUCUCUUCCAACCCGGAGUGGGCGAGGGGCGCCAGUUAGGGCGUGGGCGGGGACUGAAUAUCAACAAUUAGAUCUGCCUAUGAGGAAACCUUACUAGCGAUUAUUGAUCUGAGAGCCACGGCACAGGGAACUUCACAAGCUUCUCUGUCACACUGCUCUCUCCUCUCC